CUGAGAGCUGCCGCGAUGAGCAACCUGACCUUUCUCUCGUCGUGGCUGACAAACAUCGAAGCGUAACGUUUCAUAAUUGGCGGCGACAACGCCUGGAAGUGACACCUGAAGUCGCUCAAACUCAUGUGCUCCGGAAAACCUGAGAGACAGACAGAGAGAGAGAGAGGGGGAGACAUUAGAUUUGUUUCAACAACAAUCUGGAUAUUCAAGGUAAAAAUGAUCUAUAACUUGACUGAUCUCUGCAGCAGCUUGAAAAGCUCAAACAAAUUAAGAGAUAAUUCACAUCCAGACAGCUCAGAGGAGACGGGAGGUAAUGAGGAGCAGCGCCGCGGGGAACGCAACAAAUGAAAAUACUGCAGCACACAACGUCUUUGGCUUGUUAAACACAAACUGUGCAGGUUAUCCGGCUCACACUGAGGUGGAGGGAUUUCCAAUUAAAGCAGAACGACACAGAAUGAUCUGAUCCUCUGUUGUUAAGGAUGCUUUUACACCUCCUGAGUGUUUAUGUGGAAGUUUUAUGAUCAACAAAAUGGAUGCAGGUGGCGGCAAGGGAGGAAAAUCCAUCACACGCACAAAGUGAAGCGUUCAGGUGAGAGUCCGCCGUGCAACCAGUCCUGCUGCUCUGACUACAGCCUGCACAGUCUAAAGAUGAUGCACGUCACACUACUGAUGCAAUAUUGUCAUUUUAAGGUCGUUCUUGUGGUGCGUCCCAUUUUAACUGGGACGGCAGAUUUUCCGAGUACCUGGUCGACAAUUUCCGAAUCGGAUUCCAAAAGUUGGAUGGGAUGUCAAAAUCCAAGACGGCUGCUCUGCCUUUUUACAACAGUUUCUGUCCAGUUUGUGUCUUACACACAGUGCUGUCCACCUUUUAUUUUGAAAGAUGGAAUAACAAACUGAGUUGAUGUACUCAGUUACAUCCCGCCCCCCUGGUUGCCAUGGUUACCGUGCUCACCUGUGCGGUGGAGCUGCAGGGCCGACAGGAUCUGCGUGGAGUGCAGCUGAACUCUGAGCGCCGGGACGUCAAAACUUCCGGCGUCGCUCUUGGCGAUCACACACUGCAGGAACACGGGCCGCGCUCGACGGAUCAGGUUCACCAGAGCGUCCUGACAGAGAGAUUUUAAUCAACCUGGUGGUUCUUAAUGAAUAUUCUCAUGGAACGAUACGCGCACUGGGAGCGCUGGCUGCUGCCCUCCAGACCCCCCAGACCUCGACACAGGGGAGGCAGAGAGGCUCGCGGGCUGAACAUGGCCUUCACCUCCACGCUGAGGAAGACAAGGAGUCAAGACGGUCGUCACAUGGGACAGAACCACAUGUUGAACCACACUGUGACAUCAGUGUUGAAUACUGUCAAUAACUGAGGCUAACGCUUGUUCUGAUAUGUUUGUUAGUUCUGUGUGGUUUUAAUGGAACAACACAGUCUAAAACAGACUCACAUGGUGGAGUUCUGCAGCAGGCAGAUGGCGUUGAGAGCCGACUGGUUGUUCUGGAUCAGACCGAACCAUCCCGUCAGGUCGUAGCGGAUCGGGUCGCAGCCCAUCAGUGUUGCUGUAGUACUGGCAGACUCUCUCCAGGGCGUUGUUCUCACUGGAGCCCGGUGCCACCAUCUCCUCAUCCAGAACCCAUAACAGACCUCUGGGGUCUCCAUCUGCUGCCCGGACCUUCCACACACACACACAGAAAAAGGGGAGAUGAUCCUCCAUCGACUUCCACCAGCAGGUCAUUUCAACACCUCCGCUCUUCUCUCAUCUGGAUUUAUGCUUCUCAGAGUUCAGUUUUAUAAAGUUAAGAGAGAUUUUAUCCUGAAAAUCAACUGAAAAGUGGGCAAAAAUAGGAUUUAGCCCCUUUGGAAAUGACUCCCUUCAUGGUUUUUGUUGGAUUUAACAAAAACAUUUUAUGUUAGGGUUUGUUAAAGACAUCAUAUGAACAUUUGCUGCAUUAAAAUGUCUGUAAACUAGAGAAAUAAAUUGUUUUUUUCAAGGUAACCUGUCGCUCCGUCUCUGAAAAAGGUCGUUGGUGAAGGAAACUAAACAUAACAGAAAACUUUUAAAAAGACCUCGUCUAUACAAAGACGUUUAUUUACUAACGUCACUAACUUGUCCACUGAAAAGCCACAUCAACAACAGUGUUCACAACAAAUAUAAAUUACAUAUUGUGUAUUUAGAACUCGUCGUUAAAGGAUGAUUUAGAAUUUCACUUCCAUAAAGUUUUAAACCAGAAUGAGAGAGACAUCUUGACAUUUGCUCCUUUUCAUCGGUCAAGCUUAAAAUCCACUUGACUCUGCAAAUAUUCCAGCGCGAAUGAAACAAAUGACAGUUUCUCCUGCAGACUGUCUGUUGUAAAUGUGGUCAUCAGGGUGUUUUUUUUAUCAGACUAGACUCCUUCAGAGCCCCAGACGACAUUACACAACUGAGUGAUGAUAAGUGUGCUGGUGUUAAUUCUUCAGCUCCACA